rnacentral:lncRNA from 1 species
AAAAGUCAACCAACCAAACUAGGUCAAAAAUAAAUCCAAAAUAAAUAAAAAAUGGGAAAUAAAAUUUCAAGAAAAUGUCAGGUGGAUCAUGGGAAAGUGGUCAACCUUCAUCCCAAAAAUCAAAAGCUAAAAAUAAUUUUAAGACAUAAAACUAAAAUCAAGAAAAAAAAGUGUGUUAAAAUGGACCAUUUAAAAUAAAUAAUUAAAAUAAAAUAUUAAUAUUAAAUAAAUACGAAAA